AGGACAACUUGAUUAUGAGCAUGGGUUUGUAUACUUAAUGACAUAAUGGCAUGCAGUGAUCAAUUAUUCACAUAAGUUUCAUUAUAAUAAGAAGCAACGAGAGGUACAUCAUAGACUUAACGACGUGUUGCGCAAAUUUAUCACGCAAUACCGAUUUGAUUCUGGCGUUGUCGGACCUAUCCGAAUACAGCCGAAUCCGCCCGAGGUACAGAUUUCCAGACAAAACGCCAUUGCGCUAAAAUCGGAAUCCGAAAUUAUCAUAUCGGUUUUCGUGUGUUCGACCUGUAUCGUUCUAACAAUGCCAACUGCGCGAACUAGUCUUCAGAAGAUACACAAACAGUAUCCAAAACUGCGCUACCGGAUUAGCAUCUGUAAUCAUAGGACCAAUAAUUAUUGGAACGAGUUUUGGUUUUGAGGCGCACUUCCGAAUAAUUAGACCGGUAUUAGAACGAUAUCAAGCAC